rnacentral:sRNA from 1 species
AUUGAGUGGGAGUAAUCGCAUAAAAUAAUUCCUUGUAUUCAAAUGAUGCGAGAAGCUAAAAAGAAUAAAUUGAGCAGUAGUUCCAAGUGGUUAUAUUUGGGCAAAAGAUAAGACCGUAGCGUUUAGCUGC